rnacentral:rRNA from 1 species
AACAAAAACAUGUCCUUUUGNUUUGUUUAAAAGGUCUGGCCUGCCCAGUGANNUAUNAAAUUCAACGGCCGCGGUAUAUUGACCGUGAAAGGUAGCAUAAUCAUUAGUCUUUUAAUAGGGGGCUGGUAUGAAAGGUUAAACGAAACAUUGACUGUCUUNAUUUANNUAAAUAUUAAAAUUUAACUUUUAAGUCAAAAGGCUUAAAUUUUUUUGGGGGACGAGAAGACCCUAUAGAGCUUUACAUUAGAUNNUUUUUAAUAUNNUUCUUGGUUAUAUAUUUNUAAUUUUANNNNNNAUUUAUNCUAUUGUUUUGUUGGGGUGACAAUAAANAUAUAAUUAACUUUNNUUANUAUGAUUUACAUUAAUUUAUGNAUUAUUUGAUCCAUUAUUAUUGAUCAUUAGAUUAAGUUACCUUAGGGAUAACAGCGUAAUCUUUCUUAGGAGUUCAAAUUUACAGAAAGGCUUGCGACCUCGAUGUUGGAUUAAGAUAAUAGUUAGGUGCAGUAGCUUNAAUAAAUAGGUCUGUUCGACCUUUANAAUUCUUACGUGAU